AAUGGAAGGUGUGUAAGGCCAAUAGGUUCCAAGCUUGUAAAACUUGAGGUAGUCAUUCCAAUCAAAGAAUACUUUGAGGGAUUUAGAGGUUUUUGUAGCUUCCAAGGCUUUAGGACUGGCACACACAAUACCAAGUCCUGUUGGUAGAGAUAAGGCUUUCUGGGAGCCGGUCAAGGCAACAUCCACUCCCCACUCAUCCAUUCGGAAAUCAAGCGCACAAAUGGACGAGACACCGUCCACAAGCAGCAAGGCCGGGUGCUUGUAGUGAUCUGUUUUAUACACUUGUGUUAGUGAGAUUUAAAACAGAGGAAACACACAAAAAUACAAGGAGAUGAUUAGUGAGGAGUUAAUAACCAAGGAGGGUUCGGACAGCAGAGAUGUCAUUGGUGACUCCAGUAGCUGUCUCAUUGUGGACAAUGCAAAUGGCUUUGAUGGAAUGACUCGCAUCUUCAGAGAGCUUCGAGGCCAACACUUGGAGAUUAGCACCUUGUCCCCAAUCACUCUCAACCACAUCAACAUUGAAAUUUAGCCUCUUCUGCUGGUCAAUCCAGAGCAAGCUAAACUGUCCAAUCAGAAACGAGACGAUCCUGUCUCCAGGAGAUAGCGUGUUGGUCAAGGCACUCUCCCAAGCACCAGUCCCUGUGGUUGGAAACAGAAACGGUGUCCCAGAUGUUGUCUUGAAUAUCUUCUUCACAUCUUCCAACAAAGUUUUCGUCAGUGCCGGAAUAGCCGGUGACCGGUAAUCCUCGUUGUUCCGGUUCAUCGCCCGGAUCACCGGUUCCGGUAUGUUCACUGGCCCCGGCACAAACAGAUGGUGCCUCCCUGGUCCAUACAUGUA
rnacentral:lncRNA from 1 species